UAGUAUACUUGUAUAUGGUCGUCUACAUACUUCUCUGUUCGACUAGUGAGUGUUGGCGGGUAGCUGAAAAAGUAAAAUCUUAAAAUCUCAAACCUUUUUUGUGUCAAGUUGAUAUUUAAUGCAAUUUGUUUUGUAAAACAACAAAUGUAAACACUAUUACUGGUUGCCUGCACAGUGUACCUUAUGUCAAAAAUUUAGAUGUUUUCGACACAAUAAGUAUAUCUGUACAUAUUCCUAAAAAGCGUAACAAUAAACAAUGGAAAACCAAUCCAAUAUGAGUUCACCGCGGCCAAUAUUGCCUUCUACCUAUGUUACUCAGCCAAUGUCACAUAACAAUGCAAUAAAUUUACAAACGGAUUUCACGUCUCCUCCUCCACCACCAUCUCUCAACCAUCCUAAUUAUUGGCCUCAACCAAACUACAGCGGAACUUGGCAGCAACCUUAUCAUAUACAAGGGCCAGCUACGCCAACCAGUACAACCAUCACUACUUGUACAAGUACUACUAUUACGUAUAGCCCAACUACUAGCUCCGGCAUUAGAUCUUCUUCGCCUCGCUGGCGAUUUAACAAUAACUCGAGACAACAACGUCCUUUCCCAUAUGGAAGUGUUCCUAGAAACAACUAUCCCAGACAAUUUCCAGUUAACAGUAGUGGAAAUUUCUUUGGCAAUGGUGCUCCAAAUCAGUCAAAUUCUUCAUCUCAAAACUGGCAACAGUUUAACCAAAGACCUCGAUAUUUACAAAGACAAAAUGUGCGAAUGAAUAGGCCACGUACUACUGUUCAAAAUCAGACCAACGGAAUAAAUCAAGAAUCAAAUUCUGUCACUGAGUGUAAGACGCGCAAACGUAAGGUUAAGUCUCAGCAACCCGGCGAACCACAACGUGCCCAAAAACCGUGGAAUCGUGAAGAUGCAGAAAAAGCUAUUGCUGCCGAAAUGGAACUACGUACUCCAAAAAAUAAUAAACAAAUUAUGAUAAGAUUUCCUGACCACGAAAUCACCCGGCAAAUAGUACAAAGUUUUCAUUCUGACAUAAAGUCUGUACAUUUCCAUACACCUUGUAAUCCGAGGUAUUGCUAUGUACAAGUACAACCAAAUGCAAAUAUAGAUAAUGUAGCUAAGGAGUUGAAUGAAACGAUUUUUCAACAUGAAAAAUUGCGCGUUGAAGUUAAAGAGAGUCAGUUUGAAGAAAAAGCUUUUCCAGAAUGCAUUGACCCCUAUACUUUAUAUCUUGGUAAUUUACCAACCAACAUCACUUCUAAUGCAGUUAAAGAUGAAUUUCCUAAAGCUACUAGAGUUGAUAUUGGAUUUGCUAAAAAAAUGAAGUACACAAGGUAUGCAUUUAUUAAAUUUUCAAAUGCUGAAGAUGCUAUUCAAGCAUACAAAGAAAAGUAUAAUCUAGUUAUUGAUAGCCGAUCAGUUGUACUAAGAUUUAGGCGAGGCAAAGGCAAUGUAAAUCCACCUGGACAAGUUGAUAAACUGCCAAACGAAAUGAAUGAAUAUGAUGCUCGAAAAGAAAUUAAAAGUGAACCUAAAGAUGAAAUGUAUGAUUAUUUGCAAACUGAAUAUGAGAGUACUGAAAUUAAUAUAUCUCGUGUCAAAUCAGAAGUCAUAGAUUAUGAGGAUAAUGAAGAUGAAGAUGCCAUUUUUGAAUGUGCUAGCGAAACUAGUGGCGAUAUUAUAAUUAAAUCUGAAACUCGAGUUUCUGAUAACGAGUAUGAAGAUGAUUAUGAUUACAGUGAAGACGAGCGUGGUCCAACCUAUAAGUUCUUCCCCAAAAAUAACAUGGUAGUUGAAUCGUACUCUGGAAAUGGUCAAACACAAACUGUUACAUCAAUUGUUGAAAAUAAUGACGAUAUACCUCAUGUAAUUCAAGAUGAAGAUCCAAGAUGGUUGGCGGUAGACGACAUCCAAGAAGAAGGAGGAAAAAAAGAAGAGUCGCCUUAUACAUUUGAUCCAUCUCUAAAGAUUAAGUUAGAAAAAAGUGAUAACUCUAAUACUACAAGUGAGAUAGGAGAUGGUCAAAUCUUGACUGACGGUACAGGGUACAAUUUUGAACUUGUGGGUGUUCCCAGGAUGGAGGCAAAAGCUGAUGAGCCAAGUGAAUUUGUGGGUGGAAAAAAAAGAAAGAAGAACAACUCCAAUCUUGAUAAUAAUACUGGUUAGUCAGUUACAGGAGUUCUAAUAUGAAAAAGAAAAUUAGAGUCUUGUUCACCCGUGAGGCCAAAGGGGUAUUUAUUUUUGUAUUGGCCCGGUUACCGGGUCACGUCGAGAAGCACAACUGAUGCACAUGUACUGAAGCGACUGAAGGACUGUUAAUUAUAGGAUCAAAAUCAAAGAGGAAAUAGAACAAAAUGACAUGCAGAUUGUACUAUUAACAUUUUCAAUUAUACUGGAAAAACGGGUUCUUCACACAUUCCUUUUAAAUAGAGUUUACUCGGUAUAGUAUUGUCUAUUAUUUAUUUUACAUAAUAUAGUAUCAUACAUUGUAUUUACUAGGUUUUAUUUGUAGUAAAAAAAAAAAUAACAAUAAUUUCCUACUAUAAUUAUACAUGUAUUCUAUUAUUAUUAUUAUUAUUAUUAUUAUUAUUAUUAGAACAAUUGAUGAUAAAUAGUUUUAAGUUAAAACUUUAUUACUGACACAUCACAAUUUAACUUUGAUUAUGUAAAAUAAAGUUCUUUAACUGAUAUUACUCCCACCUUUAGUGCAUAGCUAUACACUUCAAAUAA